UACAGAGGCCCCAAGCGUUACUGAGAAUCACUGGGUUUAAAGGGUGCGUAGGUGGUCCGUUAAGUCUGUUGUGAAAUCCCCGGGCUCAACCCGGGAAUUGCUUCGGAUACUGGCGGACUUGAGGCCGGUAAGGGUCACUGGAACUGACGGUGGAGCGGUGAAAUGCGUAGAUAUCGUCAGGAACGCCGGUGGUGAAGACGGGUGACUGGGCCGGUUCUGACACUGAGGCACGAAAGCGUGGGGAGCGAACGGG
rnacentral:rRNA from 1 species